UUGUUAAAAAUUUUUAUUGAUUUAAUAAAAUUUUAAUAAAUAUUUUUUAUUUAAUAGUAAAAAUAAUAUUUAAUAAUUUUAAGAUUUUUAGUAAUAUUUUAUAAUAUAUUAUGUAAUAUGGUAUAAUAUUGUUAGUAAUUAAAAAGUUAAAGUAAUAUAUUAUUUUAAAUUAAUUAUUUAAUUGUUGAAUGUAAAUAUUUUUUAUGAAAUAAUUUAUUAAAGAUUAAAGUAUUAAUAAGUUAAAUUAAUUUUUUGUACCUUUUGUAUCAGGGUUUAUUAAAAAAUUUUUAUUUUUUUUAAAAUUCUCGAAUUAAUUGGAGCUAAUAUAUUAUGUAGUUUACUGUUUAAUUAUUAUUUAUAAUAUUAUAUUAGAAGAGAAAUUCUAGUCAUUAAUUAUGAUAUCUAGUUUUUUUAGAAAUAAAUUUAAUUUAUUUAUUAAAUUUUUUAAUAUUGUUAUUUUGUUAAUUUAUUUAAAGUAAAAAAAAUUAUUUAUUUUUUUACUUAAUUUAUUUAAUAAAAAAAAUUUAAGGGAUUAGCUUUAAAUUUUAUUCUAAAAAUUAUUAAUAAAUUUUAGAUUUCAAUAAAUUAUGAAUGUUUGUGUGUGGAUAUUUUAUUGAAAAUUUAAGUUUAUUUUAUAUAAAAACUAUAGAUUUAGAAAUAGUUAUUAGGGUUAAAUUUAUAAUAAUUUAUUUUUAUAUAAUAAAAAUUUAUUUUAAUUAUAUUUUAGGAGGAGUAUAAAAAUAUUAAUAAUUAAUAAUUUAUUUUAAUUAAUAAUGAUAAAAUUAUUAUAUAAUUAAGUUUAUAAUUUUAUAAUUAUAGUAUUUAAAUUAAAUAAAAUUAAUUAAAGAAUAUUAUUGAAAUAUAAUUAUAAGGAACUAGACAAAUUUUAGAUAUUUACCUGUUUAACAAAAACAUGUCUUUUUGAGUGAUAAUUUAAAGUCUAAUCUGCCCAAUGAAUUUAAAAUUUGAAUGGCCGCGGUAUUUUGACCGUGCAAAGGUAGCAUAAUCAUUAGUUUUUUAAUUGAAAGCUUGUAUGAAGGAUUGGAUAAGAUAUUGAUUGUCUCAUUUUUAUUUAUAUUAAAAUUUAAUUUUUGAGUUAAAAAGCUUAAAUUUUAUUAUAGGACGAGAAGACCCUAUAGAUUUUUAUAAAAUUUUAAUUUUAUUUUAAAUUUAAAGAAUUAUUUUAUAAGUAUUUUAUUUUUAUUUUGUUGGGGUGACAGUAAAAUUAAAUUAACUUUUACAUAUAAUUUACAUUGAUUUAUGAAUUUUAUUAAAUACCUAAUAAAAUAUCUUAUUAAUAGUUAUUUUAUAAAAUGAGCAUAUUUAAUAUUUUUGAUCCUAAAUUUUAGAUUAUUAAAUUAAAAUACCUUAGGGAUAACAGCGUUAUUUAUUUGGAGAGAUCAUAUUAAUAAAUAAGUUUGCGACCUCGAUGUUGAAUUAAGAUAACAUUUAGGUGGAGAUACUUAAAAGGUAGGUCUGUUCGACCUUUAAAUUCUUACAUGAUUUGAGUUCAGAUCGGCGUGAGCCAGAUCGGAUUCUAUCCUUAAUUAUAGUUAAAUAUUUUUGUACGAAAGGACUUUAUAUUUUAAAUAUUUUGUUUAUAUUUUUGAAUUAAGUUAAUAUAAUAA
rnacentral:rRNA from 1 species